ACCAAUGGAUUCCAUCUGAAUCUGACAUGACUAAACCUCUCAGAUAGUGUUAUGCUAAUCCUUGAAGUUAUGUCCUCACAUUCUUCAAAAGUGUUAACUUUCGUCGACUUGAGCUUCCUCAAAUUCAGUAGUUACAAACUCUUCUGUUCAAUCCUAAGGUUCUGACAUAAAUGCACGAAACUGAUUUGGUGCGGUAGUAACUCAAUAAUUAUAUCCUUAAACCUCCACAGUUCUCUGUCUUUG
rnacentral:lncRNA from 1 species